AGGGCACCACCAGGCGUGGAGCAUGCGGCUUAAUUUGACUCAACACGGGGAAACUAACUCGGCCCGGACGCGGGAAGGAUUGACAGAUUAAGAGCUCUUUCUUGAUUCUGCGGGUUGUGGUGCAUGGCCGUUCUUCGAUGGUGGAGCGAUUUGUCUGGUUAAUUCCGAUAACGAUCGAGACUCUAGCCUACUAAAUAGACGCCCCGGUCCUACACGCCGGGCGGUCUUCUUAGAGGGACAAGCGGCGUCUAGCCGCGCGAGACGGAGCAAUAACAGGUCUGUGAUGCCCUUAGAUGUCCGGGGCCGCGCGCGCGCUACAUUGAAGGGGUCAGCGUGUGCUUUCCCGGCCUGACAAGGCUGGGUAACCCGUUGAACCUCCUUCGUGCUUGGGAUCGGCGUUUGUAACUGUCUGCCGUGAACGAGGAACGCCUAGUAAGCCCUGAUUCAUCAGAUCGGGUUGAUUAAGUCCCUGCCCUUUGUCCACACCGCCCGUCGCUACUACCGAUGGAUGAUUUAGUG
rnacentral:rRNA from 1 species